rnacentral:rRNA from 1 species
UGCAGUCGAACGGUGAUAGCAAUAUCAUAGUGGCGCACGGGUGCGUAACACGUACGCAACCUACCUAUUAUUGGGGGAUAGCCUUUGGAAACGGAGAUUAAUACCGCAUAAUACGAUUGACUGGCAUCGGUUGAUUGUUAAAGCUUAGGCGAUAAUAGAAGGGCAUGCGUCCAAUUAGUUAGUUGGUUAGGUAACGGCUGACCAAGACGAUGAUUGGUAGGGGAUCUGAGAGGAUAAUCCCCCACACUGGCACUGAGAUACGGGCCAGACUCCUACGGGAGGCAGCAGUAGGGAAUAUUGGGCAAUGGGCGGAAGCCUGACCCAGCCAUGCCGCGUGCAGGAAGAAGGCGUUAUGCGUUGUAAACUGCUUUUUUAUAGGAAGAAGGAUCCCUUGCGAGGGAAGGUGACGGUACUAUAAGAAUAAGCACCGGCUAACUCCGUGCCAGCAGCCGCGGUAAUACGGAGGGUGCAAGCGUUGUCCGGAUUUAUUGGGUUUAAAGGGUGCGUAGGCGGUUUAUUAAGUCAGCGGUGAAAGACGGUCGCUCAACGAUUGCAGUGCCAUUGAUACUGGUAGACUUGAGUGAGAUUGAGGUAGCUGGAAUGGAUAGUGUAGCGGUGAAAUGCAUAGAUAUUAUCCAGAACACCGAUUGCGAAGGCAGGUUACUAAGUCUUAACUGACGCUGAG